rnacentral:rRNA from 1 species
UACGUAGGUGGCAAGCGUUGUCCGGAUUUACUGGGCGUAAAGGGCGUGCAGGCGGUUUGUUAAGUGCAGGGUGAAAGCUCCCGGCUCAACUGGGAGAGGUCCUUGCAUACUGGCAAACUCGAGGGAGGCAGAGGAAAGUGGAAUUCCCGGUGUAGUGGUGAUAUGCGUAGAUAUCGGGAGGAACACCAAUGGCGAAGGCGGCUCGCUGGACCGGUUCUGACGCUGAUGCGCGAAAGCGUGGGGAGCAAACGGG